UACGUAGGGUGCAAGCGUUGUCCGGAAUUAUUGGGCGUAAAGAGCUCGUAGGCGGUCUGUCGCGUCGGCUGUGAAAUCCCGAGGCUCAACCUCGGGUCUGCAGUCGAUACGGGCAAACUGGAGUGUUGCAGGGGAGACUGGAAUUCCUGGUGUAGCGGUGAAAUGCGCAGAUAUCAGGAGGAACACCGGUGGCGAAGGCGGGUCUCUGGGCAACAACUGACGCUGAGGCGCGAAAGCUAGGGGAGCAAACAGG
rnacentral:rRNA from 1 species